AUUACGAACGAGGAGCUCUGCGCCUAUGGUCAAUUAUUGUGUUUAAUACUGAGUAGUGUUUCAGUUUUUAUCUGCAAACUGCAAUAACAUUUAGUUAUAUACAUAUGUUUGCAUGUAGCGGAAGUAGUAAAAACGACAAAAUUGCUUUUCAAAGACGCCCAACAACUAUAAAGUUCAAAGAAAGAAACAUGGUUACGAUAUAAGAUUAUACGAUCAAAAAAAUAAAGCAUAUGCAGCGAAGAUCUCUUCACGAUGUUGAAAAUGUGCUAGAAACUGUUCUAGAAAAACUUCUUAAUGGUGGCAGUUUCUACACACUCGUAAUUUAUUUAUGUUAUACAUAAAAAUCAUGGAUAAAAAAUCACGCAGCUGCCUUUGGAAUUCACAUUUCGAAAGAGUGAAAUGGCUAUAUAUUCUUUGAACGCUUGCUUAUUCACUUGCACGUCGUCGAAAAAACGUUUACGAGUCUUGCUAAUAAUAUUUGUAUGUAUGCAUAAUGUAUAUGCUAUAUGGUAUAUGCAAAAUGUAAUAUACAAAAAAAAAUAAUAAUGGAAAAAUACAAUUUCGCAAUAUUGCGAUGAAUAAGUAUUCGAUUAAGCAAGAAGAGACGAUUUCAAUAUAUGUAUCAUAUGUAAAUGACGUAGACUUAUACGAACACAGACAUCAAUUGCUAUUGAACGAAAAAAAAAGUUUCGCAGACUUAUUAUAAGUAGAAUGCGCUUGUUAGGUAGAGAAAUAAAGUUAAAACGUUUCAGCUACGUAAAA